GGGGGUAUAGCUCAGUGGUAGAGCAUUUGACUGCAGAAAUGCAGAAUAAAUUUUUGUUAGUUCCUAUGUUAUUACCCUCU
rnacentral:tRNA from 1 species